rnacentral:rRNA from 1 species
AACGUAGGAGGCAAGCGUUAUCCGGAGUUACUGGGCGUAAAGCGCGUGUAGGCGGUCCGGUAAGUCCGCUGUGAAAGUCGGGGGCUCAACCCUCGGAUGCCGGUGGAUACUGUCGGGCUUGAGUACGGAAGAGGCGAGUGGAAUUCCUGGUGUAGCGGUGAAAUGCGCAGAUAUCAGGAGGAACACCAAUUGCGAAGGCAGCGCGCUGGGACGUUACUGACGCUGAGACGCGAAAGCGUGGGGAGCAAACAGG